rnacentral:tRNA from 1 species
UCAUUGGUGGCUCAGUGGUAGAAUUCUCAGCUUCCAUGUGGGAGGCCUGGGUUCUAUUCCUGGCUAAUGCA